AAGAAGAUAAAUCCUGGUUUCCGUGCCCAACGUUUGAAUGUUCGUCUUAUUUGAAAAAAAUAUGAAUUUUUUUUAAAAAGUCACGCAUAAAAUAUUAAUCAUGUUUUAUCAUCUAACAACAAUGAAAAUACGAAUUAUAAAAAAAAUUACUAUAAGAUCAACGGUUAAAGUUGGACAAGGAAAACCAGUCUUUGACUUUUU
rfam:Oryza sativa Japonica Group DNA, chromosome 3, cultivar: Nipponbare, complete sequence.